rnacentral:rRNA from 1 species
CAAUAGCGUAUAUUAAAGUUGUUGCGGUUAAAAAGCUCGUAGUUGGAGUUCUGCCAGGUGCCGCCUGUCCGCCCCAGUGGUGAGUACGUGGCGCGCAUUUGGCCCUUUCAAGGGGAGCGUAUCUGCACUUUAUUGUGUGGUGCGGGAUCCUUGACUUUUACUUUGAGGAAAUGAGAGUGUUCCAAGCAGGCAAUCGCCGUGAAUAUGAUAGCAUGGAAUAAUAGCACAGGACUCUUGGUUCAAUGCUGUUGGUUGAUUGAACUAGAGUAAUCAUAAUAAGGAUAGUUGGGGGUAUUCGUAUUUAACUGUCAGAGGUGAAAUUCUUGGAUUUUUUAAAGACGAACAAUUGCGAAGGCAUCUACCCAGGAUGUUUUUGUUGA